UUAUCAAAGAUUUAUCGCUCGGAGAUGGACUCGCGUCCGAUUAGUUAGUUUGGUUGAGGUUAAACGGGCUCACCAAGACCGCGAUCGGUAGCCGGACUGAGAGGUUGAACGGCCACAUUGGGACUGAGACACGGCCCAGACUCCUACGGGAGGCAGCAGUGGGGGAUAUUGCGCAAUGGGGGCAACCCUGACGCAGCAACGCCGCGUGAAGGAUGAAGGUUUUCGGAUUGUAAACUUCUUUUAUCAGGGACGAAUUUUGACGGUACCUGAUGAAUAAGCUCCGGCUAACUACGUGCC
rnacentral:rRNA from 1 species